CCUACGGGGGGCAGCAGUGAGGAAUAUUGGUCAAUGGGCGCGAGCCUGAACCAGCCAAGUAGCGUGAAGGAUGACUGCCCUACGGGUUGUAAACUUCUUUUAUAAAGGAAUAAAGUGAGGCACGUGUGCCUUUUUGUAUGUACUUUAUGAAUAAGGAUCGGCUAACUCCGUGCCAGCAGCCGCGGUAAUACGGAGGAACCGAGCGUUAUCCGGAUUUAUUGGGUUUAAAGGGAGCGUAGAUGGGUUGUUAAGUCAGUUGUGAAAGUUUGCGGCUCAACCGUAAAAUUGCUAUUGAUACUGGCAGCCUUGAGUACAGUUGAGGUAGGCGGACUUCGUGGUGUAGCGGUGAAAUGCUUAGCUAUCACGAAGAACUCCGAUUGCGAAGGCAGCUUACUAAACUGCCACUGACAUUGAUGCUCGACAGUGUGGGUAUCAAACAGGAUUCGAUACCCUAGUAGUC
rnacentral:rRNA from 1 species